rnacentral:tRNA from 1 species
UGGCAGAGUGGUCGAAUGCGGCGGUCUUGAAAACCGUUGUACCGCAAGGUACCGGGGGUUCGAAUCCCUCCCUCUCCGCCA